AAGCUCGUAGUUGAAAUUGUGUCCUGCGGUGUCGGUCUACCGAUUGCGGUACGACGGGCACGUCUGCGGGGCUUCUCGCCGGUGCGUCCACCGCCGGCGUGUGUCGGUCGGCCUCACGGUCGGCCGCGCACCGAGGCGGACCGUCGCGGCUGUUUACUUUGAACAAAUUAGAGUGCUCAAAGCGGGCUAACACUCGCCUGAAUAUUGUACGCAUGGAAUAAUAGAAUAGGACCUCGGUUCUGUUUUGUUGGCUUUCUGAUACCAGAGGUAAUGAUUAAUAGGGACAACUGGGGGCAUUCGUAUUGCGACGUUAGAGGUGAAAUUCUUGGAUCGUCGCAAGACGGACUAAAGCGAAAGCAUUUGCCAAAGGUGUUUUCAUUAAUCAAGAACGAAAGUUAGAGGUUCGAAGGCGAUUAGAUACCGCUGUAGUUCUAACCAUAAAUGAUGCCAGCCAGCGAUCCGCCGAAGUUUCAUAAUUUUAACCCGGUGGGCAGCUCCCGGGAAACCAA
rnacentral:rRNA from 2 species